rnacentral:lncRNA from 1 species
AGAUUAGAUCUAACCCUUAGAUCUAAUCAAACCUGAUCUAAUGAGUUUAGAACUCAUUAUCGAAACAUGGAUUGUAGAUCUCCAUAAGUGUAUCGCAUAGAUAGGGGAUCCUUCAGGUUACUCACAGCCAUACAAAAGUGUCCGGCCUCUAUAAAUCAUCUACAUGAAGAACGGAUGCUGAUCAGGCUCUUCGGGAGUACUAGCUUGCAAGGAUCUUUGAAGGUUGAUCUUGUUUUUCUUCUUUUGAUCUCUUAGACACACUAGAGAGGAAGAAGAAUUAAUGAAGGGA